AAAGUACUUCCUCCGUCCCAAAAUUCUUGUCUUAGAUUUGUCUAGAUACGGAUGUAUCAAGUCACAUUUUAGUAUUAGAUACAUCCGUAUCUAGACAAAUCUAAGACAAGAAAUUUGGGAUAGAGGGAGUAGUUG
rnacentral:pre_miRNA from 1 species